rnacentral:rRNA from 1 species
GAUGAACGCUGGCGGCGUGCCUAAUACAUGCAAGUCGAGCGAACAGACGAGGAGCUUGCUCCUUUGACGUUAGCGGCGGACGGGUGAGUAACACGUGUGUACCCUACCUAUAAGACUGGGAUAACUUCGGGAAACCGGAGCUAAUACGGGAUAAUAUUUCGAACCGCAUUGUUCGAUAGUGAAAUAUGGCUUUGCUAUCACUUAUAGAUGGACCUGCGCCGUAUGAGCUAGUUGGUAGGUUUACGGCUUACCACGGCGACUAUUCGUAUCCGACGGGAGAGGGGGAUCGCCCACACUGGAGCUGAGACAGCGUCAAGAGUCCUAAGGGAGGCACCAGACGGGAAUGGUCCGCAAUGGGGGAAAACAUGACGGAGCGGGGCCGCGUGAGAGAUGAAGGUGCUGGGAUCGGAAAACUGGGUUACUGGGUAAGAACAAACGUGGACGUAGCUGUGCACGUCUUGACGGUAAUUAGUCAGAAAGCAACGGCUAACUACGUG